rnacentral:ncRNA from 1 species
UCGAGCCCGGUGAAGGGAAACUUUCACGCCGGGUUCCUCGGGGGCUUGGGAGCUGAAAGGGUCUCCGGCUACCCUAC